AUACGAAGGGUGCAAGCGUUAAUCGGAAUUACUGGGCGUAAAGCGCGCGUAGGUGGUUUUGUAAGUUGGAGGUGAAAGCCCCGGGCUCAACCUGGGAAUUGCCUCCAAAACUGCAUGACUAGAGUACGGUAGAGGGUAGUGGAAUUUCCUGUGUAGCGGUGAAAUGCGUAGAUAUAGGAAGGAACACCAGUGGCGAAGGCGACUACCUGGACUGAUACUGACACUAAGGUGCGAAAGCGUGGGGAGCAAACAGGAUUAGAUACCCUGGUAGUCCACGUCGUAAACGAUGUCAACUAGCCGUGGGGAUCCUUGAGAUCUUAGUGGCGCAGCUAACGCAUUAAGUUGACCGCCUGGGGAGUACGGCCGCAAGGUUAAAACUCAAAUGAAUUGGCGGGG
rnacentral:rRNA from 1 species